AUGAAACAAUUGCCUGCGGCAACAGUUCGACUCCUUUCAAGUUCUCAGAUCAUCACUUCGGUGGUCAGUGUUGUAAAAGAGCUUAUUGAAAACUCCUUGGAUGCUGGUGCCACAAGCGUAGAUGUUAAACUGGAGAACUAUGGAUUUGAUAAAAUUGAGGUGCGAGAUAACGGGGAGGGUAUCAAGGCUGUUGAUGCACCUGUAAUGGCAAUGAAGUACUACACCUCAAAAAUAAAUAGUCAUGAAGAUCUUGAAAAUUUGACAACUUACGGUUUUCGUGGAGAAGCCUUGGGGUCAAUUUGUUGUGUAGCUGAGGUUUUAAUUACAACAAGAACGGCUGCUGAUAAUUUUAGCACCCAGUAUGUUUUAGAUGGCAGUGGCCGCAUACUUUCUCAGAAACCUUCACAUCUUGGUCAAGGUACAACUGUAACUGCUUUAAGAUUAUUUAAGAAUCUACCUGUAAGAAAGCAGUUUUACUCAACUGCAAAAAAAUGUAAAGAUGAAAUAAAAAAGAUCCAAGAUCUCCUCAUGAGCUAUGGUAUCCUUAAACCUGACUUAAGGAUUGUCUUUGUACAUAACAAGAUUUAUCUCAGUGGAUUUCUUCCAAAGUGUGAUGCAGACCACUCUUUCACUAGUCUUUCAACACCAGAAAGAAGUUUCAUCUUCAUAAACAGUCGACCAGUACAUCAAAAAGAUAUCUUAAAGUUAAUCCGACAUCAUUACAAUCUGAAAUGCCUAAAGGAAUCUACUCGUUUGUAUCCUGUUUUCUUUCUGAAAAUCGAUGUUCCUACAGCUGAUGUUGAUGUAAAUUUAACACCAGAUAAAAGUCAAGUAUUAUUACAAAAUAAGGAAUCUGUUUUAAUUGCUCUUGAAAAUCUGAUGACGACUUGUUAUGGACCAUUACCUAGUACAAAUUCUUAUGAAAAUAAUAAAACAGAUGUUUCCGCAGCUGACAUCGUUCUUAGUAAAACAGCAGAAACAGAUGUGCUUUUUAAUAAAGUGGAAUCAUCUGGAAAGAAUUAUUCAAAUGUUGAUACUUCAAUCAUUCCAUUCCAAAAUGAUAUGCAUAAUGAUGAAUCUGGAAAAAACACUGAUGAUUGUUUAAAUCACCAGAUAAGUAUUGGUGACUUUGGUUAUGGUCAUUGUAGUAGUGAAAUUUCUAACAUUGAUAAAAACACUAAGAAUGCAUUUCAGGACAUUUCAAUGAGUAAUGUAUCAUGGGAGAACUCUCAGACGGAAUAUAGUAAAACUUGUUUUAUAAGUUCCGUUAAGCACACCCAGUCAGAAAAUGGCAAUAAAGACCAUAUAGAUGAGAGUGGGGAAAAUGAGGAAGAAGCAGGUCUUGAAAACUCUUCAGAAAUUUCUGCAGAUGAGUGGAGCAGGGGAAAUAUACUUAAAAAUUCAGUGGGAGAGAAUAUUGAACCUGUGAAAAUUUUAGUGCCUGAAAAAAGUUUACCAUGUAAAGUAAGUAAUAAUAAUUAUCCAAUCCCUGAACAAAUGAAUCUUAAUGAAGAUUCAUGUAACAAAAAAUCAAAUGUAAUAGAUAAUAAAUCUGGAAAAGUUACAGCUUAUGAUUUACUUAGCAAUCGAGUAAUCAAGAAACCCAUGUCAGCAAGUGCUCUUUUUGUUCAAGAUCAUCGUCCUCAGUUUCUCAUAGAAAAUCCUAAGACUAGUUUAGAGGAUGCAACACUACAAAUUGAAGAACUGUGGAAGACAUUGAGUGAAGAGGAAAAACUGAAAUAUGAAGAGAAGGCUACUAAAGACUUGGAACGAUACAAUAGUCAAAUGAAGAGAGCCAUUGAACAGGAGUCACAAAUGUCACUAAAAGAUGGCAGAAAAAAGAUAAAACCCACCAGCGCAUGGAAUUUGGCCCAGAAGCACAAGUUAAAAACCUCAUUAUCUAAUCAACCAAAACUUGAUGAACUCCUUCAGUCCCAAAUUGAAAAAAGAAGGAGUCAAAAUAUUAAAAUGGAGUUUCAAUUACUGAAAAUUACUUGGAAAUAG
rnacentral:sRNA from 1 species